GGGCCCUUAGCUCAAUCGGUCAGAGCAGCGGACUCAUAAUCCGUCGGGUCCAGGUUCGAGUCCUGGAGGGCCCA
rnacentral:tRNA from 1 species